rnacentral:rRNA from 1 species
UGGGGAAUAUUGCACAAUGGGGGAAACCCUGAUGCAGCGACGCCGCGUGAGCGAAGAAGGUUUUCGAAUCGUAAAGCUCUGUCCUAUGAGAAGAUAAUGACGGUAUCAUAGGAGGAAGCCCCGGCUAAAUACGUGCCAGCAGCCGCGGUAAUACGUAUGGGGCGAGCGUUGUCCGGAAUUAUUGGGCGUAAAGGGUACGUAGGCGGUCUAUUAAGUCAGGUGUGAAAGCGUGAGGCUUAACCUCAUUAAGCACUUGAAACUGAUAGACUUGAGUGAAGGAGAGGAAAGUGGAAUUCCUAGUGUAGCGGUGAGAUGCGUAGAUAUUAGGAGGAAUACCGGUGGCGAAGGCGACUUUCUGGACUUUUACUGACGCUCAGGUACGAAAGCGUGGGGAGCAAACAGG